GUUCAAAGCAMCAUUCGCUCGAAUACAUUAGCAUAGAAUAAUAGAAUAGGACGUGCGGUUCUAUUUUGUUGGUUUCUAGGACCGCCGUAAUGAUUAAUAGGGAUAGUCGGGGGCGUCAGUAUUCAGCUGUCAGAGGUGAAAUUCUUGGAUUUGCUGAAGACUAACUACUGCGAAAGCAUUCGCCAAGGAUGUUUUCAUUAAUCAGGGAACGAAAGUUAGGGGAUCGAAGACGAUCAGAUACCGUCGUAGUCUUAACCAUAAACUAUGCCGACUAGGGAUCGGGCGGUGUUUCUAUGAUGACCCGCUCGGCACCUUACGAGAAAUCAAAGUUUUUGGGUUCUGGGGGGAGUAUGGUCGCAAGGCUGAAACUAAAGAAAUGACGKGAGAACGKGUGCGGCCU
rnacentral:rRNA from 1 species